rnacentral:rRNA from 1 species
UUAAAUUAGUAAGAGCGUACGGUGGAUGUCUUGGCAUAUAGAGCAGAAGAAGGACGCAGAUAACGGCGAAACGCCUCGGGGAGUCGUACACAGGCAACGAUCCGGGGGUAUCCGAAUGGGGAAACCCGAUAAAGUUGAAAAGCUUUAUCAUCCUUAAGCCAAUACAUAACUUAAGAGAAGGCAACCCAGGGAAUUGAAACAUCUUAGUACCUGGAGGAGAAGAAAAUAACAAUGAUUCCGAGAGUAGUGGCGAGCGAAAUCGGAGCAGCCCAAACCAGCAACGAGCUGGGGUAGUAGGACCACAGAAAGUGAUUGAAAAGAGAUAGUCGAAUGGCAUUGAAAGGUCAGCCGCAGAAGGUGCAAGCCCUGUAGGCGAAAUCUCGAUUCACGCGAGUGGGAUCCUGAGUACGUCGGAGCACGUGAAACUCUGACGGAAUCGACCGGGACCAUCCGGUAAGGCUAAAUACUCCUAUAUGACCGAUAGUGAACCAGUACCAUGAGGGAAAGAUGAAAAGAACCGCGGGAGCGGAGUGAAAUAGAUCCUGAAACCGUAUGCUUACAAAAAGUCAGAGCACAUUAAGGUGUGAUGGCGUGCCUUUUGUAGAAUGAACCGGCGAGUUAUCUUUGCAUGCGAGGUUAAGCAGACAAUGCGGAGCCGUAGCGAAAGCGAAUCUUAAUAGGGUGGCAAGUAUGUAGAGAUAGACCCGAAGCCGUAGUGAUCUAGUCAUGAGCAGGUUGAAGGCUGGGUGAAUCCAGCUGGAGGACCGAACCGACCCCCGUUGAAAAGUUGGCGGAUGACUUGUGAUUAGCGGAGAAAUUCCAAUCGAACACGGCGAUAGCUGGUUCUCCCCGAAAUAGCUUUAGGGCUAGCGUUGAACGAAUCUACCCGGAGGUAGAGCACUGAAAUCAUGCGGGCGGCAUCUCGCCGUACCAAAUGAUAUCAAACUCCGAAUGCCGGGCAAGAAUAUUCAGCAGUCAGACUGUGGGUGAUAAGGUCCAUGGUCAAAAGGGAAACAGCCCAGAUCAUCAGAUAAGGUCCCAAAAUUUACGCUAAGUGGAAAAGGAUGUGGAGACGCGCAAACAGCUAGGAGGUUGGCUCAGAAGCAGCCAUCCUUCAAAGAGUGCGUAACAGCUCACUAGUCGAGUAUCUCUGCGCCGAAAAUUAACCGGGGCUAAGCGUAAUACCGAAUCUAUGGAUUUAUACUUAGGUAUAAGUGGUAGGGGAGCGUUCCAUACAGCAUUGAAGGUAUACCGUAAGGAGUGCUGGAGCGUAUGGAAGUGAGAAUGCCGGUGUGAGUAGCGAGAUGUGGGUGAGAAUCCCACACACCGAACAACCAAGGUUUCCAGGGGAAGGUUCGUCCGCCCUGGGUAAGUCGGGACCUAAGGCCAGGCCGAAAGGCGUAGUCGAUGGACAGCAGGUUGAUAUUCCUGCACCCGCGAGUAAAGUGAUGGAGUGACAGAUAGGGUUAACCCAAGUCCUUAAUGGAUUGGGCAAGGCAAGCAGGAGAGUGGCGUAGGCAAAUCCGCGCCGGAUACUCAAAGGCUUGACUCAAGCGAACGCGCGAGCAAGUAGUGAAGAGGGCAAUACCAGGUCUCAAGAAAAGCUUCUAGCGAUAAUUUACUAGCGGCCCGUACCAAAACCGACACAGGUGGUUGAGGCGAGUAGCCUAAGGUGAGCGAGAGAACUGUUGCCAAGGAACUCGGCAAAUUGACCCCGUACGUUAGCAAUAAGGGGUGCUCGAAAGAGCCGCAGUGAAUAGGCCCUAGCAACUGUUUAACUAAAACAUAGCUCUCUGCGAAGUCGCAAGACGAAGUAUAGGGGGUGACACCUGCCCGGUGCUGGAAGGUCAAGGGGAUUUGUCAGACGCAAGUCGAAGCAUUGAACCGAAGCCCCAGUGAACGGCGGCCGUAACUAUAACGGUCCUAAGGUAGCGAAAUUCCUUGUCGGGUAAG